AGUAACGGCGAGUGAACAGGGAGAAGCCCAAAUUUGUAAUCUGGCACUUUUUACAAGUGUCCGAGUUGUAAUUUGUAGAACUGUUAUCCGUGCUGGACCAUGUACAAGUCUGUUGAAAAGCAGCAUCAUUGAAGGUGAAAAUCCUGUAGAUGAUAUGGACUACCAGUACUCUUGUGAUACGGUUUCUAAGAGUCGAGUUGUUUGGGAAUGCAGCUCAAAGUGGGUGGUAAAUUCCAUCUAAGGCUAAAUAUAAGUGAGAGACCGAUAGCAUACAAGUACCGUGAGGGAAAGAUGAAAAGAACUUUGAAAAUAGAGUUAACAGUACGUGAAAUUGCUGAAAGGUAAACGUUUGAAGUUAGUUUUGUAUUCGUUAGAUCAGCUUCGCAAGGAGUGUAUUCUGAUGAUAAGCAAGUCAACAUCAGUCUAUGAGUAUUGGAGAAGGGUUUUGAGAAUGUAGCAAUUUAAUUGUGUUAUAGCUUGAGACUUGGAUACGAUGCUUUGGAUUGAGGAACGCGUAGUAAGCUUUGAGCGGAUUCGAAAGGAUCUCCUUACUAUGGAUGUUGGUGAAAUAACUUUAAGCGACC
rnacentral:rRNA from 1 species